GCUGUGCGCCAAGAGUUUUCCUUCCCCCUCAUCGUCGAAAUAACAAACCCUACUACGGAGCAAGUGGCGGGGUGAGAGAGCGUCCAAAACCGCCUCUGACCGCCAGUUUCAAACUCAUUUGCGGAAAUCGUGGUAAUAUCAAUACAAGAACAAACAACGAUUCAACAAAGUAGUAUCUCGUUUGGAAAUAAAUUGAAUAACGGGGUCCUAUGCUACCGUUCCACUGUCUUGUGGACACUGAGGAUCUGAGGUCUGUUCUUAUUUGAGUUGGGUCAGACAUGAUAGAGAAAUGAUAGCAGCACCAGAGUUACCGUCAGAGUUCCACUAUCCUCAGGAUUCGGACACCCGUUUCUCCUCAGACACAGACUUCUCUGAGGCGCCUGAUGUCAGUAUCAACCCAACCAAAGGAAAGGGAGGGAAGAAGGGGAAGAAGGUGGCAGGAGAGAAGGGUAAAGGAGGGAAGGGAGUGGGGGAGCAGGGAGGAUGAACGGCCACUACCAGGAGAAUGGCAUGGAGAACCUGAUGCUGUUCGAGGUUGUCAAGAUGGGCAAAAGCGCCAUGCAGUCUGUGGUGGAUGACUGGAUUGAGGCAUAUAAAACCGACAGGGACAUGGCUCUGCUAGACCUCAUCAACUUCUUCAUCCAGUGUUCUGGCUGUAAAGGAGUGGUCAGUGGAGAGAUGUUCCGAAACAUGCAGAACUCUGAGAUCAUCAGGAGGAUGACAGAGGAGUUUGACGAGGACAGCGGAGACUACCCUCUGACCAUGGCAGGUCCGCUGUGGAAGAAGUUUAAGGGUAGUUUCUGUGAGUUCAUUGCUGUCUUGGUGAGACAGUGUCAGUACAGCAUCAUCUAUGAUGAGUACCUCAUGGACACGGUCAUAUCGCUCCUCACCGGACUGUCGGACUCACAGGUCCGAGCCUUCAGGCACACCAGCACACUGGCAGCUAUGAAACUGAUGACAGCCCUGGUGAAUGUAGCUCUGAACCUGAGCAUCAACAUGGACAACACACAGCGGCAGUACGAGACAGAGAGAAACAAGAAUGUCGCCAAGAGAGCCAACGACCGGCUGGAGCUACUGCUGCAGAAACGCAAAGAGCUUCAAGAAAAUCAGGACGAAAUUGAAAACAUGAUGAAUGCUAUAUUCAAGGGUGUGUUUGUACACCGGUAUCGUGAUGCCAUAGCAGAGAUCAGAGCUAUCACUAUAGAGGAGAUAGGAAUGUGGAUGAAGCUGUACAGUGACGCCUUCCUCAACGACAGCUACCUGAAAUACGUAGGCUGGACCAUGCACGACAAGCAAGGCGAGGUACGUCUGAAAUGUUUGACAGCUCUGCAGGGUCUCUACUACAACAGAGAACUGAACACCAGACUGGAGCUGUUCACCAGCCGCUUCAAGGACCGCAUCGUCUCCAUGACUCUAGACAAGGAGUACGAUGUUGCAGUACAAGCAAUUAAACUGCUCACUCUGGUACUACAUAGUACAGAUGAGGUACUGAGCCCGGAGGACUGUGAGAGCGUCUAUCACCUGGUCUACUCCGCCCACCGACCGGUCGCCAUAGCAGCCGGGGAGUUCCUCUUCAAGAAACUGUUCAGUACGCGGGAGCCAGAAGAGGAGGGCGCCCCCAAGAGGAGAGGAAGACAAAGCCCCAAUGCCAACCUCAUCAAAACUACUGUUUUCUUCUUCCUGGAGAGCGAGCUCCAUGAGCACGCUGCGUACCUGGUGGACUCUCUGUGGGAGAGUGGAGCAGACCUACUGAAGGACUGGGAGUGUAUGACCAGCCUGCUACUGGACGACCCUGUGCCAGGGGAGGAAGCCCUGACAGACAGACAGGAGACGGCUCUCAUAGAGAUAAUGCUGUGUACGGUGCGCCAGGCAGCAGAGUGCCACCCGCCCGUAGGCCGCGGAACUGGGAAGAGGGUGAUGACAGCGAAGGAGAAGAAGACCCAGCUAGAUGACAGGACCAGAAUGACAGAGCUGUUUGCUGUGACAUUACCCCCUCUGUUGGCCAAGUACUCCAUAGAUACAGAGAAGGUGACCAACCUGCUGCAGCUCCCUCAGUUCUUUGACCUGGAUAUCUACACCACAGGACGACUAGAGAAGCACUUGGAGGCGUUGCUGCGUCAGAUCAGGGAGAUGGUGGAGAAACACACAGACACAGAGGUUCUGGAGGCGUGCUCGAAGACCUACCACGCUCUCUGCAACGAGGAGUUCACCAUCUUUAACAGAGUGGACAUCGCCAGGUCACAGCUGCUCGAUGAACUGGUGGACAAAUUCAACAGACUGCUGGAAGACUUCUUACAAGAGGGUGAGGAGCCUGAUGAUGAUGAUGCCUACCAGGUCCUGUCUACUCUCAAGAGAAUCACAGCAUUCCACAAUGCCCAUGACCUGUCCCAGUGGGAUCUGUUCAGCAGUAACUUCAAGUUGCUCAACACGGGCAUUGAGAACGGAGACAUGCCAGAGCAGAUAGUGGUCCAUGCUCUACAGUGUACCCACUACAUUGUCCUGUGGUACUUGGCCAAGGUCUCGGAGGGCAGCCACAGAAAGGAGGAGCUGGUGAGCCUGAGGAAACAGAUGCGGAUGUUCUGUCUGAUGUGUCAACGUUACCUCACCAACGUCAACACAACCGUCAAGGAACAGGCGUUCACCAUCCUGUGUGAUGUGUUGCUGGUCUUUAGUCAUCAGAUGGUAUCGGGAGGCAGAGAGCAGCUGGAGCCGCUGGUCUACAGUCCUGAUGACUCGUUACAGACAGAACUACUGUCCUUCAUACUGCACCAUGUGUUUAUAGACCAGGACGAUGACAACGGCAGCACAGAUGGCCAGCAGGAUGACGAGGCAGCGAAGAUAGAAGCUCUUCAUAAGAGACGUAACCUCCUGGCGGCCUACUGUAAACUUAUCAUCUAUAACGUAGUAGAGAUGAACACUGGCGCUGACAUCUUUAAGCAGUACAUGAGGUAUUAUAAUGACUAUGGUGACAUCAUCAAGGAGACCAUGUCAAAGACCAGACAGAUAGACAAGAUCCAAUGUGCCAAGACACUCAUUCUCAGUCUACAACAGUUGUUCCAUGAGAUGUUGUCAGAGUUGGGGACAGGAUUUGACCGCUCGUCCUCAGCAUUCUGUGGGAUCAAGGAGCUGGCCAGACGUUUCUCUCUCACCUUCGGUCUGGACCAGGUCAAAACACGAGACGCUAUCGCCAUGCUGCACAAGGAUGGUAUAGAGUUUGCGUUUAAGGAGCCCAGUCCACAGGGAGAGGGCAACCCUCCUCUUCACCUGGCCUUCCUAGACAUCCUCUCUGAGUUUUCCUCCAAACUAAUGAGGCAGGACAAGAGGACUGUUCACAUGUAUCUGGAGAGGUUCAUGACCUUCCAGAUGGCCCUCCAGAGAGACGACUGCUGGCUACCGCUCAUCUCCUACAGGAACUCCCUGCAGGCCGGAGGGGACGAUGACACCAUGUCUGUUGUCUCCGGAUACUCCUCCAGAGGGUCGUCGGUCAGAUCCAAGAAGACCAAGGCUGCUACUCCCACUGCUACCGUCGCUGCAGCUAAGAGGAAACUCCCUGAAGCGGAGGAGAGCAGUAGCAGCAGUGCAGAUAUGUCGUGGCAGCACCAGAGCAUGCAGACGCCCGUGAUGAUGCCCUCCCCCCACCUCACCUCUACCAUGAUGAGAGGACCAGGGGACAUGAGGGAGGAGGCCAAACGGGGGAGAGACGACAGCUACAUGGGAGUGUACGCCCUCCCUUCAGACUCCCAGCAGCAUCCUCACCCUCACACACUCCCCCAAACCCCUCAACUCCACCAGACACCCAUCGACUACAAUACCCAGGUGACGUGGAUGCUGGCACAGAGGCAGCAGGAGGAGGUUCGUCAGCAGCAGGAGAGAGCCAUGAACUACGCCAAGCUCAGAACCAACCUGCAACAGGCCAUUCGGCGUGGUACAGGGCUGAUGGAGGAGGAUGAGGAGCCUAUCGUAGAGGACGUGAUGAUGUCGUCAGAGGGUCGUAUGGAAGACCUCAACGAGGGCAUGGACUUUGACACCAUGGACAUCGACCUGCCCCCCUCUAAGAACAGGAGAGAGAGAUCAGAGCUGAAACCAGACUACUUUGACCCUGGUUCCAUCAUGGAUGAGUCUGUCCUUGGAGUGUCCAUGUUUUAAACUGGUAUUUGUAGACGAAGAGGAGAGAGGCAUUUUGUAUUUAUGGAGAAGUUAAGAUGUGGAUCUGAAGUCUUCUCUGAUUUAUCCUCCAUGGUCUAACACACACACACACACACACACACACACACACACACACACACACACACACACACACACACACACACACACACACACACACACACACACACACACACACACACACACACACACACACACACACACACACAGUGUUGCUUGCUCAGAGGGAACUGAAUGAAAAUAAAAUACUUUUAUAAUCCUUGGGUAAGCUUUUCACCUUCGUUAGCUUCAAACCUAAAGGAAUCCUCGACAUUUAGUCUGAAGAAAGUUCCAUUAUUCUAGAAUGUUUUAUUUUUCUUCCAAAUGGAGAUGGAAUGAGAUUUUUAAAUGUCUUCUAACCCUGUCUCUAUGCUAGUAUAGUGAGUAACCCGGUGUGGUCUAGUAAUUUAUAAACAGGUUGUUAGUAGGAAAGGUAGCUAGCUGUGCUGUAGUAUUAGUGGAUGGACAUGGUCUUUAUGCUAUUUUCAGUUUUUCCUCCAUGUUGGACUGUCAGAAUCUGUUGGUUCUGUGGUUGUGAUGACGACUGCUGGUGUUUCAGUUGGGGACCUGUUGUCUAGAUCAGCUGUAAGUCAUGGAUGGAGCAACACACAUCCAACCGUUGGCCCAAGUAAAGGACACAACCGUUUUCCAAGAGCAGAUUCCUUCAUACGAAACACGUAGAAAUAACGGCACGCUGUUGUAAACACUUCAGUGUAGUUUCUUGCAACGUUCGGCACAUCCAGAUGUGUGGGUACUGUUUCCAUUCUGUGGUGGUUGGAUACUGUCUUACUGAGGAUCCCAGUAGUUGCUGUGAAGAGGCCCAGGAUGCAUCUCAAAAGUAGUGCACCAUAUAGGGAAUAGGGUGCCAUUUGGUAUGCAGACAAAAAGUGUUUAACAAGGAACUAGGCUGUCACACAAGUCCUGAAGCUUACCCAAAGAUUUGCACCCUUCUACCUAUCUGUGGAGUUUUCUCUCAACGGACAGCGAGGUGAUUUCCUCUCUGGUAGUGCCACCGCUGUGCUGACUCCGAGACAGGCAAGCAUCACGCUAAUACACACAAAAUACAUUUCUCCAUCUCCAGAAAAUCCAGCAUAUUUAGUGUUGAAAUAGCUAUCUCUAAAUUUUAAAUAAAGUUAUAUAUGAAUCGGUGCUGAUUUUAUAACUGUGCUUUUUUUUUGUUUUAUUAAAAUGUUCAACCUACAGUUAAUGUUUCAGAAAUGUGUAAGUAAAACUGUUUAAAAUGAAAAGCAUGGGUAGUCAGGUGUCGGAAGAUUUUUAAAUUUGUAUUUUUUUUCUUUCUUAACGUCUUGGGGUUUCUACCGUUUUUCCUACGUGUCAAUGAGUUUGGAUGAGACUCAUUGUGAGAAAAUACAUCUGGCUUGUGAAAUUUCAGCUUUAAGAUUCUCAACAUCCAUGAGUAAUAAUAAUGUCCUGUUGCGAAACUCAACAAUAUAAAACUGUGUAACUAACUAAAAACCAGUCAUCAUUAUAAUCCUAUAGAAAAGUUGAUUGUUUUCAUCCCAAUUGGUACCCUAUUCCCUAGUGCCCUCACCAGGCCCUAUAUUCCCUAUGGGCCCUGGUCAAAAGUAGUGCACUAUAUAGGGAAUAAGGUGCCAUUUGGGACACUUUUCAACAGUAGCAGCACUCUGGCAGCUAGACAAAGCUUAAAUGUGACAUGAACUAUUAUGUCGUCCAUAAGUUUUAAUGAAAUGUUUUGUCUACUGAGGUAAAUCUAUCUACUUUGUAAUCAUUCCAUGCCUGAGCCUUAAACAUGCUAUAGUGGAAGGAAAUCAACUGCCCUGUCCAGAAACGGCCCCUAGCCCCAUAGAAAUAGUAUUACUAGAAUGAAAUUGAUAUUGUCUAAGGGGUGCUUUUCCCCGUUCUAUUCAUUCUAUGCCUAUAUACCUAGACUCUCCAAGGCACCUGUGUAUAUCUGAUAGGAAUGGGUAAGGUAUAAGCAAUUUGGCUUCAUCCCAACUAGUCUGAGGUAAAUGGUGAAGCUACUAUCGUAUUGCUUAUACCCAUCCAAUUACUAUAGAUCUACACUAGCACCUAGGGGUUAGGCUUGAGGUAGCCCCGGAGAGAUUAUGUAGAUGAGAUUUGGUUGGGCCUCGUGACACUAGGGGUGCUUGGGAUUGUUUCUGGAAAGGGCCUACAUUUGUUUUCUCUCACAACUUUCUUCCAUGUCAGAGGUAGCCAUGAAAGGUGAUUAUUGGUGUUUAUGACGACAGAGAACAUUCGAGAUGGUCCAGAUGUGAUGUCGAUGAAGUAGAUACAAACAGCCUGUGUGUUUUACCUAAUGAUUAUUUUAUGUAAGUAAAUAUUUUGGAGUAAAAAUGACUGUGGCUUUUGUUUUUGUCACUUACUACCACUACAUUGGUAUAAUUCCUUUUAUUUGAACCUUCCUGUAUAUAAAACAAACAUCAAGCUUUA